rnacentral:precursor_RNA from 1 species
GGCUUGAGGACCGUAUUCAUGGAAGAGGAUUGAACAGACUACUGAGUUCUUAAGAGAAAAAUGGCACUUAAGAAAUUGAUGGUGAUAUCAAAGGAAGGUUACUUAUUACUCUUGGACUUUGAUGAUGAGGACGAUGACAUAAAAGUUUCAGAGGAGGCUCUUGCGGAAGUAAAGAGCCCAGGAUUUGAUAAAAAUGAGAAUAUAUCGCCUCAAGCAGAAGCAGAUGAAUAUAUGGGAGAUGAAGUAGACAGUAUGUUGGAUAAAUCUGGAGUAAAGAACCCAGCAAUUGGUAAAGAUGAGAAUAUAUCGCCUCAAGUAAAAGGAGAUGAAGACAUGGGAGAUGAAAUUGACAGUAUGUUGGCUACAUCUGGAGGUCUUUUCUCCUGAGAACACGGGACUCCAGCAUCUUCGGAUUCUGCUCUUGGAGGUGUGAGUCCCUGCCUCUCUGCACAGGGGAACUUAUGUCUCUCCACAUGUCCGCAAAUGUCUACCCAAGAUUAUACAUCUUCCAAAGGCUUUCAAAUACUUCUUUACAUAAACAAGGGGUUUGCCCCACAUCCUCUAUAUUGCAGAAAACAAGACUAGGCUCUACCUCUGUAGAUCAAGCACGACUGAAAUCCGUGCUCUCAAAAGAUGCUGGGGAGAAAGAGUGCCAUUCUUCACAAAUGCUGAUGUGUGCAGCUGAACAGAGCGUUGAGGAAACGUCAGUGAUUUUAUAACUACUUAUCAUGUUGGGAGAUUGUUGUGAUGAUUGCCUGGACUCUCAGAUGUUACACAGGCUGCAUCAUUGGACUGAAAGUGAAUGGCCCAUGUGUUGCCACUGAUGUGAGCCAUUUGCAAGCCG